GAACUGAAGAGUUUGAUCAUGGCUCAGAUUGAACGCUGGCGGCAGGCCUAACACAUGCAAGUCGAGCGGAUGACGGGAGCUUGCUCCUGGAUUCAGCGGCGGACGGGUGAGUAAUGCCUAGGAAUCUGCCUGGUAGUGGGGGACAACGUUUCGAAAGGAACGCUAAUACCGCAUACGUCCUACG
rnacentral:rRNA from 1 species